ACGCUGACAGAAUGCUUAACACAUGCAAGUCUUUGGCGAAGCUGUGCUUGCACAGCCUAGCCAAGGCGGACGGGUGAGUAACGCGUAAGGAACUUGCCCUGCAGUCAGGGAUAACAGACGGAAACGACUGAUAAGACCUGAUAAAGUCAGGCGGACUCAUGUCCAGCCUGAUGAAAAGAGAUGCUGCAGGAGAGCCUUGCGUCCUAUUAGCUUGUUGGUGGGGUAACGGCCCACCAAGGCGAUGAUAGGUAGCCGGCCUGAGAGGGUGGACGGCCACAAGGGGACUGAGAUACGGCCCUUACUCCUACGGGAGGCAGCAGUGGGGAAUAUUGGACAAUGGGGGCAACCCUGAUCCAGCAAUUCUGUGUGCACGAUGAAGGUUUUCGGAUUGUAAAGUGCUUUCAGCAGGGAAGAAAAAAAUGACGGUGUCUGCAGAAGAAGCGACGGCUAAAUACGUGCCAGCAGCCGCGGUAAUACGUAUGUCGCAAGCGUUAUCCGGAAUUAUUGGGCAUAAAGGGCAUCUAGGCGGCCAGAUAAGUCUGGGGUGAAAACUUGCGGCUCAACCGCAAGCCUGCCCUGGAAACUAUGUGGCUAGAGUACUGGAGAGGUGGACGGAACUGCACGAGUAGAGGUGAAAUUCGUAGAUAUGUGCAGGAAUGCCGAUGAUGAAGAUAGUUCACUGGACGGUAACUGACGCUGAAGUGCGAAAGCUAGGGGAGCAAACAGGAUUAGAUACCCUGGUAGUCCUAGCUGUAAACGAUGAUUACUGGGUGUGGGCAUGAAGAGUGUCCGUGCCGAAGCUAAUGCGGUAAGUAAUCCGCCUGGGGAGUACGGCCGCAAGGCUGAAACUCAAAGGAAUUGACGGGGACCCGCACAAGCGGUGGAGCAUGUGGUUUAAUUCGA
rnacentral:rRNA from 1 species